AUGGCUUCAGCUUGCAGUAGAAUUGCUCAAAGAGCGUCAAUCUCAUCCAUCAAAUCAGCUAUCAAAUCGAACAUUCGCUCCUCUUCUAUCCCCAAACCAUCAGCCACCACUUCUCCUCCGCUUCGCCGAUCCUUUUCAUCCAGGAUCGCACCGGAACUUGGAUGCGUGCAGUCGAUGUUGCCGCUUCACAGUGCGGUUGCGGUGUCUAGAAUGAUGUCACGCCUCAGCAUAACUUCGAGGAACUGUCAAUCGCUUUCUCAGGGUACACUCUGCUGCACCUCUCCCGGCCUCUAA